UCUUUUUGGAGAGUUUGAUCCUGGCUCAGGAUGAACGCUGGCGGCGUGCCUAAUACAUGCAAGUCGAGCGGAUCUAAGGGAGCUUGCUCCCAAAGAUUAGCGGCGGACG
rnacentral:rRNA from 1 species